UGCGGAGCCGCGCAGAGAGAAGCUGUGAGCGAAAAUUCACUGGCAAGAGUUGCGCUACACACACUCGGAUUUUUGUUAUUCCUGCCGAGGAUCACGCUGUCAAAACCGGGAUUUGCGGUGGACAAGAAGUGGCAGAAGCCACGGGGCGAUAUAGAACAUCUAAAAGGAAAAUUGGUUGAAGCUGCAAGAUGCCAUGUGGCUUUGUCUGAAUCAGCGUGUUCUGAUGCUUUCAGAUUUAUAAUACUCAAGACAGCAGGGAGCUGCUUAACCUGGCAGCUGCUCCAUCGUCAGCUACUUUCACACCUGGUCCCUCCCUCAGCUCAAGCUCGUCCUCCCUCCCUCUCUGUCUCCUAUUCAUGCAACAGCUUCAUUUCAGCUACGUUUGUCAGGUGGCUCUCUCCCCCAUUCAUCUGCCUGGCCACUGAUCGGAUACACACUAUUGCUUUUGAUUCCACAACAAGCUAUUAGCUCAGCCUCUCAGCAGCCAGUGUUAAUGGGAGUGAGUCAGCAAAUGAUGCUCACAAAACCUGCUCAUGGACCGGGGGAAGGCUGACAGCAGUCUGGGAGGUCAGGUGUAAAGCAUCAAGAACAGCCAUAGGAUGCCAACAGAUCAGUGCUAAGUAUUCUGAUACUGGACCGAACAAAGCCCAUCAUACACACAGUCACAUAUCAUACACACAAAAUAUAUUUGAGUGUGGCUCAGAUUGGGGCGG